AUACGGAGGAUGCAAGCGUUAUCCGGAUUUAUUGGGUUUAAAGGGUGCGUAGGCGGGACUGUAAGUCAGGGGUGAAAUACUGCCGCUUAACUGUAGCAUUGCCUUUGAAACUGCCGUUUUUGAGUACAGUUGAGGUAGGCGGAAUUGGGUGUGUAGGGGUGAAAUGCAUAGAUAUACCACAGAACGCCGAUUGCGAAGGCAGCUUACUAAGCUGUUACUGACGCUGAGGCACGAAAGCGUGGGGAUCAAACAGGAUUAGAUACCCUGGUAGUCCACGCUGUAAACGAUGAUUACUGGUUGUUAGCGAUAUAUAGCUAGUGACUGAGCGAAAGCAUUAAGUAAUCCACCUGGGGAGUACGUCGGCAACGAUGAAACUCAAAGGAAUUGGCGGGG
rnacentral:rRNA from 1 species